UAGCUUGCUACCUGACCUAGCGGCGGACGGGUGAGUAAUGCUUAGGAAUCUGCCUAUUAGUGGGGACAACAUUCCGAAAGGAAUGCUAAUACCGCAUACGCCCUACGGGGGAAAGCAGGGGAUCUUCGGACCUUGCGCUAAUAGAUGAGCCUAAGUCAGAUUAGCUAGUUGGUGGGGUAAAGGCCUACCAAGGCGACGAUCUGUAGCGGGUCUGAGAGGAUGAUCCGCCACACUGGGACUGAGACACGGCCCAGACUCCUACGGGAGGCAGCAGUGGGGAAUAUUGGACAAUGGGCGAAAGCCUGAUCCAGCCAUGCCGCGUGUGUGAAGAAGGCCUUUUGGUUGUAAAGCACUUUAAGCGAGGAGGAGGCUACUUGGAUUAAUACUCUAGGAUAGUGGACGUUACUCGCAGAAUAAGCACCGGCUAACUCUGUGCCAGCAGCCGCGGUAAUACAGAGGGUGCGAGCGUUAAUCGGAUUUACUGGGCGUAAAGCGUGCGUAGGCGGCUCUUUAAGUCGGAUGUGAAAUCCCUGAGCUUAACUUAGGAAUUGCAUUCGAUACUGGGAAGCUAGAGUAUGGGAGAGGAUGGUAGAAUUCCAGGUGUAGCGGUGAAAUGCGUAGAGAUCUGGAGGAAUACCGAUGGCGAAGGCAGCCAUCUGGCCUAAUACUGACGCUGAGGUACGAAAGCAUGGGGAGCAAACAGGGUUAGAUACCCUGGUAGUCCAUGCCGUAAACGAUGUCUACUAGCCGUUGGGGCCUUUGAGGCUUUAGUGGCGCAGCUAACGCGAUAAGUAGACCGCCUGGGGAGUACGGUCGCAAGACUAAAACUCAAAUGAAUUGACGGGGGCCCGCACAAGCGGUGGAGCAUGUGGUUUAAUUCGAUGCAACGCGAAGAGCCUUACCUGGUCUUGACAUAGUAAGAACUUUCCAGAGAUGGAUUGGUGCCUUCGGGAACUUACAUACAGGUGCUGCAUGGCUGUCGUCAGCUCGUGUCGUGAGAUGUUGGGUUAAGUCCCGCAACGAGCGCAACCCUUUUCCUUAUUUGCCAGCGGGUUAAGCCGGGAACUUUAAGGAUACUGCCAGUGACAAACUGGAGGAAGGCGGGGACGACGUCAAGUCAUCAUGGCCCUUACGACCAGGGCUACACACGUGCUACAAUGGUCGGUACAAAGGGUUGCUACCUAGCGAUAGGAUGCUAAUCUCAAAAAGCCGAUCGUAGUCCGGAUUGGAGUCUGCAACUCGACUCCAUGA
rnacentral:rRNA from 1 species